UACGGAGGGUGCAAGCGUUAUCCGGAUUCACUGGGUUUAAAGGGAGCGUAGGUGGGUUGGUAAGUCAGUGGUGAAAUCCCCGAGCUUAACUUGGGAACUGCCAUUGAUACUAUCAGUCUUGAAUAUUGUGGAGGUCAGCGGAAUAUGUCAUGUAGCGGUGAAAUGCUUAGAUAUGACAUAGAACACCAAUUGCGAAGGCAGCUGGCUACGCAUAUAUUGACACUGAGGCUCGAAAGCCAGGGGAGCAAACGGG
rnacentral:rRNA from 1 species